UGACCCUUAUUAAGCCGAGGGUCACCUAGCCAACUGACGUUGUUAGUGAACCGAAUUUUGUUCACAAAUGUAUACGCCAAUCGCCUUAUUUCGCGGUUGGCUUUUUUUUG
rnacentral:sRNA from 1 species